GACGUAGGGCGCGAGCGUUGUCCGGAUUUAUUGGGCGUAAAGAGCUCGUAGGCGGCUUGUCGCGUCGACUGUGAAAACCCACGGCUCAACUGUGGGCUUGCAGUCGAUACGGGCAGGCUAGAGUUCGGUAGGGGAGACUGGAAUUCCUGGUGUAGCGGUGAAAUGCGCAGAUAUCAGGAGGAACACCGGUGGCGAAGGCGACUUCCUGGCCUGUUCUUGACGCUGAGGCGCGAAAGCGUGGGGAGCAAACAGG
rnacentral:rRNA from 1 species